rnacentral:rRNA from 1 species
AGAGUUUGAUCCUGGCUCAGAAUCAACGCUGGCGGCGUGCCUAACACAUGCAAGUCGAACGAGAAAGUGGAGCAAUCCAUGAGUACAGUGGCGUACGGGUGAGUAACACGUGACUAACCUACCCUCGAGUGGGGAAUAACCUCGGGAAACCGGGGCUAAUACCGCAUAACAUCUUCGGAUCAAAUGCGUAAGCAGCUUGAGGAGGGGGUCGCGGCCGAUUAGCUAGUUGGCGGGGUAAUGGCCCACCAAGGCAAUGAUCGGUAGCCGGCCUGAGAGGGCGCACGGCCACACUGGAACUGAAACACGGUCCAGACUCCUACGGGAGGCAGCAGCGGGGAAUUUUGCGCAAUGGGGGAAACCCUGACGCAGCAACGCCGCGUGGAGGAUGAAGCCCUUUGGGGUGUAAACUCCUUUCGAUCGGGACGAUUCUGACGGUACCGGAUGAAGAAGCACCGGCUAACUCUGUGCCAGCAGCCGCGGUAAUACAGAGGGUGCAAGCGUUGUUCGGAAUUAUUGGGCGUAAAGGGUGCGUAGGCUGUGCGGUAAGUCUCUUGUGAAAUCUCCGGGCUCAACUCGGAGCCUGCAAGGGAAACUACCUUGCUGGAGUAUGGGAGAGGUGAGUGGAAUUCCCGGUGUAGCGGUGAAAUGCGUAGAUAUCGGGAAGGAACACCUGUGGCGACAGCGGCUCACUGGA